UGGGGAAUAUUGCACAAUGGGGGAAACCCUGAUGCAGCGACGCCGCGUGAACGAAGAAGGUAUUCGUAUCGUAAAGUUCUGUCCUAUGGGAAGAUAAUGACAGUACCAUAGAAGAAAGCUCCGGCUAAAUACGUGCCAGCAGCCGCGGUAAUACGUAUGGAUCGAGCGUUGUCCGGAAUUAUUGGGCGUAAAGGGUACGCAGGCGGUUUAAUAAGUCGAAUGUUAAAGAUCGGGGCUCAACCCCGUAAAGCAUUGGAAACUGAUAAACUUGAGUAGUGGAGAGGAAAGUGGAAUUCCUAGUGUAGUGGUGAAAUACGUAGAUAUUAGGAGGAAUACCAGUAGCGAAGGCGACUUUCUGGACACAAACUGACGCUGAGGUACGAAAGCGUGGGGAGCAAACAGG
rnacentral:rRNA from 1 species